rnacentral:rRNA from 1 species
GACGAACGCUGGCGGCGUGCUUAACACAUGCAAGUCGAACGGAAAGGCCCUGCUUUUGUGGGGUGCUCGAGUGGCGAACGGGUGAGUAACACGUGAGUAACCUGCCCUUGACUUUGGGAUAACUUCAGGAAACUGGGGCUAAUACCGGAUAGGAGCUCCUGCUGCAUGGUGGGGGUUGGAAAGUUUCGGCGGUUGGGGAUGGACUCGCGGCUUAUCCGCUUGUUGGUUGGGUAGUGGCUUACCAAGGCUUUGACGGGUAGCCGGCCUGAGAGGGUGACCGGCCACAUUGGGACUGAGAUACGGCCCAGACUCCUACGGGAGGCAGCAGUGGGGAAUAUUGCACAAUGGGCGGAAGCCUGAUGCAGCAACGCCGCGUGCGGGAUGACGGCCUUCGGGUUGUAAACCGCUUUCGCCUGUGACGAAGCGUGAGUGACGGUAAUGGGUAAAGAAGCACCGGCUAACUACGUG